rnacentral:misc_RNA from 1 species
GAAGAGAGCGUACUAGACAUACGCUCUCGGGUAGACCGUUUAAGACGGUAGCUUUAAUUUAUUGGUUAAUAAACCCGUCAAUCUUCGCUAAAAGUUAUGACGGGUUUAUUUUUUGUCGUUUUUAUUACUGAUUUUGACAAUUAAUGUUGCGAAAGCAAUCGCAAGCAUCAAUGCUUCAAAGACAGUCACUACUAUUCCUUUCUAGGGAAAGAGCAAACAAGCAAAAACAUUGGCAGUCCCCCUUUUUUUGAGAAAUUGCCACCGUCAUAAACUUCCUACUUGUGUAGUAUAACACAUUUGUACCUUCCUAGAAUACGCUUACUUUCCUGAUUAUUCAACAGCCGCUUUCUUUUGUAAUAAAAAUCGCGCACCGUUUACUGGGAUAAAACGAUUCAGCCAACUAAAAUUUUUUAGACUAAACAGACCGACCAUCUUUUUUGAUGGUCGGUCUGUUUAGUCUAUUGCU